GAAGGUGGCAAGCGUUAUUCGGAUUUACUGGGCGUACAGGGAGCGUAGGCGGUUUGGUAAGCCCUCUGUGAAAUCUCCAGGCUUAAUCUGGAAAAGUCGGAGGGGACUGCUGGGCUAGAGGACGGGAGAGGAGCGCGGAAUUCCCGGUGUAGCGGUGAAAUGCGUAGAGAUCGGGAGGAAGGCCGGUGGCGAAGGCGGCGCUCUGGAACGUUUCUGACGCUGAGGCUCGAAAGCGUGGGGAGCAAACAGGAUUAGAUACCCUGGUAGUCCACGCCUUAAACUAUGAAUACUAAGUGUCGGCAGUUUACUGCCGGUGCCGCAGCUAACGCAUUAAGUAUUCCGCCUGGGAAGUACGGCCGCAAGGUUG
rnacentral:rRNA from 1 species